rnacentral:rRNA from 1 species
UACGUAGGAUGCAAGCGUUUUCCGGAUUUAUUGGGUUUAAAGGGUGCGUAGGCGGCCUAUUAAGUUAGUGGUGAAAACGCUCGGCUUAACCGGAUACCCGCCAUUGAUACUGAUAGACUUGAGUGCGAUAGAGGGUGUUGGAAUGUGGGGUGUAGCGGUGAAAUGCUUAGAUAUCACGCAGAACACCAAUUGCGAAGGCCGAUGCCUAUGUCGUAACUGACGCUGAGACACGAAAGUGUGGGGAGCGAACAGG